CCGACCUUAGCUCAGUUGGUAGAGCGGAGGACUGUAGUUUGCUCAGUGAUCCUUAGGUCGCUGGUUCGAAUCCGGCAGGUCGGA
rnacentral:tRNA from 2 species